AUUGAACGCUGGCGGCAGGCCUAACACAUGCAAGUCGAGCGGAUGAAGGGAGCUUGCUCCUGGAUUCAGCGGCGGACGGGUGAGUAAUGCCUAGGAAUCUGCCUGGUAGUGGGGGAUAACGUCCGGAAACGGGCGCUAAUACCGCAUACGUCCUGAGGGAGAAAGUGGGGGAUCUUCGGACCUCACGCUAUCAGAUGAGCCUAGGUCGGAUUAGCUAGUUGGUGGGGUAAAGGCCUACCAAGGCGACGAUCCGUAACUGGUCUGAGAGGAUGUUCAGUCACACUGGAACUGAGACACGGUCCAGACUCCUACGGGAGGCAGCAGUGGGGAAUAUUGGACAAUGGGCGAAAGCCUGAUCCAGCCAUGCCGCGUGCGUGAAGAAGGUCUUCGGAUUGUAAAGCACUUUAAGUUGGGAGGAAGGGCAGUAAGUUAAUACCUUGCUGUUUUGACGUUACCAACAGAAUAAGCACCGGCUAACUUCGUG
rnacentral:rRNA from 1 species